rnacentral:tRNA from 1 species
GGGCCCAUAGCUCAGUUGGUAGAGCAGCCGGCUCAUAACCGGCGGCGCCCUGGUUCGAGUCCAGGUGGGCCCA